AGGCUAUGAAUUCAAUUUUGAACCUUCUGACAGUGCUAAUGAAGUUACAACGUAUGAUUACAGCUCUAUUCUCCAUUACAGAGCAAAUGCCUUUUCCAAGAAUGGUCAAGAAACACUACAGCCAAGAGAACCUGUCUAUAUUGGUCAGAGAGUAAAAAUAAGUGAAAAGGAUAUCCAGAAAGUUAAUCUGUAUUACCAGUGUAAGGGAAAUGGUCCUUCUGGAAGAUGAUACAAGAGCCUACUAUUCAAGGGGUCACUAGCUGAUGGAUUUCUGGAGAUGGAUGUUAACAUGUUUUGAGAUCGCCUAUCCCAUGUUUAGAGUACAAUGCUGUAUUAUAGCUGGAAAAUAAAAUUCUUGCUAAAAUUU